UACGUAGGGGGCAAGCGUUGUCCGGAAUCAUUGGGCGUAAAGCGCGUGUAGGCGGCCAGAUUAGUCCGUUCUGAAAGCCCGGGGCUCAACCCCGGGAGGCGGAUGGAUACUGUUUGGCUCGAGUCCGGAAGAGGCGAGUGGAAUUCCCGGUGUAGCGGUGAAAUGCGCAGAUAUCGGGAGGAACACCAAUGGCGAAGGCAGCUCGCUGGGACGGUACUGACGCUGAGACGCGAAAGCGUGGGGAGCAAACAGG
rnacentral:rRNA from 1 species